AGAGAGAGAGAGAGAGAGAGAGCUUUCCUCUGUGUUGCAAUGUAAAUUUUAUUUUAGAGAUUAUGCAGUAGUCAGAAUUUCGAACUACUAUCUUCAAAUGCUUUGCAAAACAAAUUUGAUGAGAAAUCCGCACGUGCUUAUGAAGUCAUAAUUUAUUCAAUGUUUGAGCUUAUCCAAGUAGUAAACAUCAGGAGCUCAUUAAAUCACUGAUUACUUACCACCCAAAUUGUUUGGCUGUAUGGACAACAAAAAUAAGUACAAAGAGUUCAAAACCUUAGCAUUCUCCCCAAACUCUCUCUUGAAGAUUCCA
rnacentral:misc_RNA from 1 species